rfam:Ciona savignyi cont_32254, whole genome shotgun sequence.
GCAUUGGUGGUUCAGUGGUAGAAUCCUCGCCUGCCACGCGGGGGGCCAGGGUUCGAUUCCCGGCCAAUGCA